AGUGAACGCUGGCGGUAGGCCUAACACAUGCAAGUCGAACGGCAGCACAGUAAGAGCUUGCUCUUACGGGUGGCGAGUGGCGGACGGGUGAGGAAUACAUCGGAAUCUACUUUUUCGUGGGGGAUAACGUAGGGAAACUUACGCUAAUACCGCAUACGACCUACGGGUGAAAGCAGGGGAUCUUCGGACCUUGCGCGAUUGAAUGAGCCGAUGUCGGAUUAGCUAGUUGGCGGGGUAAAGGCCCACCAAGGCGACGAUCCGUAGCUGGUCUGAGAGGAUGAUCAGCCACACUGGAACUGAGACACGGUCCAGACUCCUACGGGAGGCAGCAGUGGGGAAUAUUGGACAAUGGGCGCAAGCCUGAUCCAGCCAUACCGCGUGAGUGAAGAAGGCCUUCGGGUUGUAAAGCCCUUUUGUUGAGAAAGAAAAGCAGCAGGUUAAUCCCCCGCUGUUCUGACGGUACCCAAAGAAUAAGCACCGGCUAACUUCGUG
rnacentral:rRNA from 1 species